rnacentral:rRNA from 1 species
UACGUAGGGUGCAGGCGUUAAUCGGAAUUACUGGGCGUAAAGCGUGCGCAGGCGGUUUGCUAAGACAGGUGUGAAAUCCCCGGGCUUAACCUGGGAACUGCGCUUGUAACUGGCAAGCUAGAGUGUGGCAGAGGGGGGUGGAAUUCCACGUGUAGCAGUGAAAUGCGUAGAGAUGUGGAGGAACACCGAUGGCGAAGGCAGCCCCCUGGGCUAACACUGACGCUCAUGUACGAAAGCGUGGGGAGCAAACAGG